GCCGGGAUGGUCUCCAUCUCCUGGCCUCUUGAUCCACCUGCCUUGGCCUCCCAAAGUGCUGGGAUUAUAGGUGUGAGCCACUGCGACCGGCCAGUUUUCAUAUAUUUUCUUAACUCCAUGUUGAGUGCUUACCAACUGCAAUUUUAGAGUGUAGGAUUUUUAGAGGUGCUCCGUACACUGCCUACAGUGAAAGGCUAGCUUCUUCUCCUUCUAUUUCCAAUCCAUUUCUCACUGUUACAUUUAGAAAAUACAAUAAAAAUGUAUUACUAGAGUUGGCCUCUGACCAUGCAGUUUUAAAUUUCUGUGCUUAUCCUGUGGGGGGGGACAUUGCUGAUUAAGGAUGAGCACCAAGUCCAGACACCAUGCUUUGAGUAACACUGUCUCAGGGCACAUUCGGAUCCAUGAGUAGAGCUCCUGUCUGUGAUGGUUAAAUGAGUGAAAAAACCUGGAGAGACAUUUCAGCUGUUUGCCUUUUCUGCAGGCAUUUCUGUGCUAGCUCGUUCAAGCUCCCUCUUUAGUCUUUGCUUCCCAUUCUUUCUAUUGUGUACCUUUGGGUUAAUUACACAUCUUAACUUCCCGUUUCCUGCAGAUUAACCUUCACUUCAAAAAUGUAAGUGAUUACAUGCACUUCUUCUUCCCAAAUUAACUACCAUACACUCUGGUAUUCUUUGGCUGGGAGCAUGGUAUCUUUUUUUUAAUACAUUUGAAAUAAAUCCAAACACCUGUCUUGCAUUUUGUAAACAUGUAUCUUAGAGUGAAUUAUACUUCCUUUGAGUCCAUACAUUUUACAGGUCAGUCUGAGACAUUUACAUAACAAUUAAAAAAAUGAAUAUAUUGCUGAUUUCCUCUGUUUGGCUUUAAAUGCCUAUAAACGGCACUAAAGAAGAAGAAAGUCAUGAAAGUAGUAAUGCAGAAUUCAGCCUGGUCUGGGGUCAUUUGGGAGAUAUUAACUACUUUCUCAUAUAUGGCUAAACCUUGACUAAACAUUUUUUAGAAAGCAGAGG